rnacentral:rRNA from 1 species
UACGUAGGGUCCGAGCGUUGUCCGGAAUUAUUGGGCGUAAAGAGCUCGUAGGCGGUCUGUCACGUCGGCUGUGAAAACACGGGGCUCAACUCCGUGCCUGCAGUCGAUACGGGCAGACUAGAGUUCGGUAGGGGAGACUGGAAUUCCUGGUGUAGCGGUGAAAUGCGCAGAUAUCAGGAGGAACACCGGUGGCGAAGGCGGGUCUCUGGGCCUUACCUGACGCUGAGGAGCGAAAGCGUGGGGAGCAAACAGG